rnacentral:lncRNA from 1 species
CAACCAUGAAAGAGGCCUAGCACAUGGUGCUGAAUAGUGAAAUAUGAUAUCCUUGAAGUCACUAAGGUUUAACAUACAGCACAAGAGAACAUUCUUUAGGAAUGACUCAUCUGAGCUUCAGGCCCCACCACCUGGUUUCACAGAGGAGAGAAGCAGGGCCCAGAGGAAAAGGACUCACCCAAAGAGUUCGCAUCAUGGACCAGAGUCCAGGUCGCCUGAUGCCUAGACCAGUGCUCUUCCACAGCUCCCUAGCUUCCUGACAAGUUGUACAAACUCCGAUCCAGGUUUGGGGAGGGAAAGGCAGGCUCAGUGCUGGGCCUCAUUCACUGGCUCUAUCUCAGCAGCAUCUACCAGAAAAAUUAUGUAAAGGAUGAUGAUAGACGGGACCUAGCCACAUUCCAGGAACUUACAGACUAUUUCAGAUGCAACAGAGAACUCAAAAAGAAUGGAAUGGAAAAAGAAAGGGAAAGACAUUCUGAAAUGUGACACUUGAACAACAUCGACCCUCUACCUAACUGCAAAAAAAAAUGAGGACAAUAUCUCUCUACGGUGAUAAAAAAAUUAAAACUCAUGAGUGAAAAACAGAA